AACGAACGCUGGCGGCAUGCCUAACACAUGCAAGUCGAACGAGACCUUCGGGUCUAGUGGCGCACGGGUGAGUAACGCGUGGGAACCUGCCCUUAGGUUCGGAAUAACUCCCCGAAAGGGGUGCUAAUACCGGAUAAUGUCUUCGGACCAAAGAUUUAUCGCCUUUGGAUGGGCCCGCGUUGGAUUAGCUAGUUGGUAGGGUAAAAGCCUACCAAGGCGACGAUCCAUAGCUGGUCUGAGAGGACGAUCAGCCACACUGGGACUAAGACACGGCCCAGACUCCUACGGGAGGCAGCAGUGGGUAAUAUUGGACAAUGGGCGAAAGCCUGAUCCAGCUAUGCCGCGUGAGUGAUGUAGGCCUUAGGGUUGUAAAACUCUUUUACCCGGGAUGAUAAUGACAGUACCUGGAGAAUAAGCUCCGGCUAACUCCGUG
rnacentral:rRNA from 1 species